CCUACGGGCGGCAGCAGUGGGGAAUAUUGGACAAUGGGGGGAACCCUGAUCCAGCCAUGCCGCGUGUGUGAAGAAGGCCCUCGGGUUGUAAAGCACUUUCAGUGAGGAAGAACGCCUGGUGGUUAAUACCCAUCAGGAAAGACAUCACUCACAGAAGAAGCACCGGCUAACUCCGUGCCAGCAGCCGCGGUAAUACGGAGGGUGCGAGCGUUAAUCGGAAUUACUGGGCGUAAAGCGCGCGUAGGUGGCUUGAUAAGCCGGUUGUGAAAGCCCCGGGCUCAACCUGGGAACGGCAUCCGGACCUGUCAAGCUAGAGUGCAGGAGAGGAAGGUAGAAUUCCCGGUGUAGCGGUGAAAUGCGUAGAGAUCGGGAGGAAUACCAGUGGCGAAGGCGGCCUUCUGGACUGACACUGACACUGAGGUGCGAAAGCGUGGGUAGCAAACAGGAUUAGAUACCCUGGUAGUC
rnacentral:rRNA from 1 species